rnacentral:rRNA from 1 species
GACGAACGCUGGCGGCGUGCUUAACACAUGCAAGUCGAACGGAAAGGCUCCAGCUUGCUGGAGUACUCGAGUGGCGAACGGGUGAGUAACACGUGGGUAAUCUGCCCUGCACUCUGGGAUAAGCCUGGGAAACUGGGGCUAAUACUGGAUAUGACCUUUCUCCUUAUGGGGUUUGGUGGAAAGUUUUUCGGUGUAGGAUGAGCCCGCGGCCUAUCAGCUUGUUGGUGGGGUGAUGGCCUACCAAGGCGACGACGGGUAGCCGGCCUGAGAGGGUGAUCGGCCACAUUGGGACUGAGAUACGGCCCAGACUCCUACGGGAGGCAGCAGUGGGGAAUAUUGCACAAUGGGCGGAAGCCUGAUGCAGCGACGCCGCGUGAGGGAUGACGGCCUUCGGGUUGUAAACCUCUUUCAGCAGGGACGAAGCGUAAGUGACGGUACCUGCAGAAGAAGCACCGGCUAACUAUGUG